GACGAACGCUGGCGGCGUGCUUAACACAUGCAAGUCGAACGGGAGUAUCGAAGAAGCUUGCUUUUAAGAUACUUUAGUGGCGGACGGGUGAGUAACGCGUGAGGAGCUGUCCUAUGCAGGGGGACAACAGUUGGAAACGACUGCUAAUACCCCAUAAGCCGAGAGGUAAAAGGAUUUAUCCGGCAGAGGAGGUACUCGCGUCCUAUCAGCUAGUAGGUGAGGUAACGGCUCACCUAGGCGAAGACGGGUAGCCGGCCUGAGAGGGCGAACGGCCACACUGGAACUGAGAUACGGUCCAGACUCCUACGGGAGGCAGCAGUGGGGAAUAUUGGGCAAUGGGGGCAACCCUGACCCAGCGACGCCGCGUGGGUGAAGAAAUCCUUCGGGAUGUAAAGCCCUGUUGUAUGGGAAGAGCAGAAGACGGUACCAUACGAGGAAGCCCCGGCAAACUACGUGCCAGCAGCCGCCGUAAAAC
rnacentral:rRNA from 1 species